rnacentral:lncRNA from 1 species
UCAUCUAAGGUAUGUGUUCUUGGGUAGUAGAAAUACAUUGCCGGUUAUUAUUGCUACUGAUUUAGGUGAACAAUAGGUAGAGGCUCUCAUUUUAGUUCUGAAGAGGUACAAGAGAGCUAUUAGUUGGACUAUUACAGAUAUCAUUGGUAUCCCUCCUGGCAUAUGUAUGCACAAGAUUAGCUAGAGGAAGAUUGCGUACCCACUAUUGAGCAUUAGCGUCGUUUGAAUCCACCUAUGCAAAAGGUGGUGAACAAAGAAAUCAUCAAGUGGCUAGAUGCAGGGGUACGGGUAUAAGUACGUGUACGCCUGGAUUGCCUUAUCUGCUGUAUUGCCUACUGCUUGCCCGCAUUUAUUUUAUAGUUGUUUUGAUUUAGUCGUAGUUAGUUAGUUGUAAUUAGUCAGAUUUUUACAUAAAAUUGUUCUUAUAGAUGGCAUGGCAUUAUAACAGGAGUUUGUGCUGAAUCACUACUAUUGAAACAUUUAGGCUCUAAGUUGUGACUCAUUCUGUGAUAAUUGUUUAUGGUUUAAUUCAUUUAUUUGUUGGGUCAAGAAUCUCUAAUGCUCCUAAUUAAGUUGACCAUGUGCCAUAUGUGUGUAAGGUUAUUGUAUAUUCUUUGUUGCGACUGAUGCUAGAACUUGCCUAGUGUGUGUGUGAAGCGAAAUAAAGAUUACGAGUUUAGGAGAUGAUUUACGCAUUUGUUUGGCAGCCCUGAUUUUUUAUCUUCUUUUUACCUAACUUUGUACAUUGUCCUAGUGAACACCUAUUGAGCCUUUAGCUAUUUUCUUUGGCAACCUCAUAUGUAGCCGAAUCCAUUUUUUUUGAAAAGACCAUAAUUUGAUCCAAAAGCUCCUAAGUGCUUUAAAUUGUAGAAUCAAGUUGAGUAAAGAGUGUGGCAAAAUAAGAGGAAAAUGGUGAAAGUGAUGCCCCAAAGUUUAGUUAUUGGUACAUGAAAAUAUUGUGAUCGGGAGUGGCGCCCUGGUCCUUUCUUAGACAUUAUGCACCUCGACUAACGCAAAUAGUCUAAGCUGAGGGUGGCUAUCAUACGGAUGCUUAAGAAAAAAAAGAGUUGUAUAUUCCCAUCAUAGUGUUUUUGAUUGAGUAACAAAAUGGGUGAAGAAAAAAAGAGUUGUCUAUUCCCAUCAUAGUGUUUUUGAUUGAGUAACAAAAUGGGUGAAGAAAAAAANNNNNNNNNNNNNNNNNNNNNNNNNNNNNNNNNNNNNNNNNNNNNNNNNNNNNNNNNNNNNNNNNNNNNNNNNNNNNNNNNNNNNNNNNNNNNNNNNNNNNNNNNNNNNNNNNNNNNNNNNNNNNNNNNNNNNNNNNNNNNNNNNNNNNNNNNNNNNNNNNNNNNNNNNNNNNNNNNNNNNNNNNNNNNNNNNNNNNNNNNNNNNNNNNNNNNNNNNNNNNNNNNNNNNNNNNNNNNNNNNNNNNNNNNNNNNNNNNNNNNNNNNNNNNNNNNNNNNNNNNNNNNNNNNNNNNNNNNNNNNNNNNNNNNNNNNNNNNNNNNNNNNNNNNNNNNNNNNNNNNNNNNNNNNNNNNNNNNNNNNNNNNNNNNNNNNNNNNNNNNNNNNNNNNNNNNNNNNNNNNNNNNNNNNNNNNNNNNNNNNNNNNNNNNNNNNNNNNNNNNNNNNNNNNNNNNNNNNNNNNNNNNNNNNNNNNNNNNNNNNNNNNNNNNNNNNNNNNNNNNNNNNNNNNNNNNNNNNNNNNNNNNNNNNNNNNNNNNNNNNNNNNNNNNNNNNNNNNNNNNNNNNNNNNNNNNNNNNNNNNNNNNNNNNNNNNNNNNNNNNNNNNNNNNNNNNNNNNNNNNNNNNNNNNNNNNNNNNNNNNNNNNNNNNNNNNNNNNNNNNNNNNNNNNNNNNNNNNNNNNNNNNNNNNNNNNNNNNNNNNNNNNNNNNNNNNNNNNNNNNNNNNNNNNNNNNNNNNNNNNNNNNNNNNNNNNNNNNNNNNNNNNNNNNNNNNNNNNNNNNNNNNNNNNNNNNNNNNNNNNNNNNNNNNNNNNNNNNNNNNNNNNNNNNNNNNNNNNNNNNNNNNNNNNNNNNNNNNNNNNNNNNNNNNNNNNNNNNNNNNNNNNNNNNNNUAUUGUGAUUUCCGUUUUAUUCAUGAGCAUCUAAGUUUAUUUGUUAGGGUUAUGGAAACCUUGUAGUAUACUCUCUAUUGCUAUGGGUUUUUGAAUUUAUGAUGUGUUAAUCCACUUAUAUCAUUGCUCUCUUCAUUUUGACUGAAUUCUCGUUGUUGCAAUCAUAGGGAAUGCGUGAUUAUAGCAAUAACUUGUUCGAUAGAAAAUUUACUAUUUGGAAAAAGAGAGUGUGAUAAGAAAAUAGGGUUUCCAACCUCUAUUUUACACGUUAAUACCUUAGCAGGAUUAACUUCUUGAAGAGUUUGUACAAUUGGUUGUACACUUUGGAUUCAAGAGAACUAAGGUGAAUAAAUCCUUGAUGGUUGAGAAACACUUGGAUUUAGAAUUGGAAUACGUCUCUCUAUAAGUGCAUGCAUGUAUAAAAUCCUUAUUACUCAUAGUUAAUAGAGAAGUAGAAGCUACAAGGUGGACAUAACCCUAAUUUGUCAUUUUCUGUGAUCAAAUAUUAUUACACAUAUCAUCUCAUCGUUACACUGAUGAUAUUAUUGUCCACCUAAACUGAAAGCCCCCUUACCUUGGAACCUUCAAUCAAUAGUCUAAUAAUAAUCGCAAUACUUAGUGAUCAUAGUAUUUCCUGUGGGAUUUGAGACCCAACCCAGUUGGGUUCUAUAUUUGACAGCGACCGCUUGCACUUUCUAACGAGAGUUGUAAUUUGGGCAUAUCAUGUCCAAAGAAGGAGAUACACUGUAAUUCCUUGAACCUUUAUGAAAUAAAUGUGCCACUUUCUCUUUUUGUAAUGAAUCUAGUUUGGGGUAGGGGGUACACAUGAAUUGACCCUCAAACUCUGAUCUCAGCCAUAAGCCACGUAUUCAAGGUACUCAGUUUAGAUCACAAUAUCCAACUCAUGUAUCAUAUUCCAGACUUAGUUACGUUUAUGUGUUUCCGCUCAUGCAUAUCUAGUAAUUACUUUCAGGAUUGUUAGCAUUUUCAGUUUAAGGAAAUAGUCUCCCUUGAACUUAUCUAGUUUCAUUCUCAGAUUUCCAUAAUAAACUUAGUAUCAAUUACCCUUGCAUAUUCAGUCAUGCUUUCAUGUGUCAGAUCAGUUAUGUAGUUAUGCAUCAGAUAUGCAUGUUUAGUAUAAUAUAUUCAGCUUAUCAGUCAUGCCAGCCAUGAAAUCAUACAUCAGAUAUGCAUGCUCAGAAAAAAUCUCAGCAAAUCAGUUAUGUCAGUCAUGUACUCAUAUUUCAGUUGUUCAUGUUUAGAAUGUACUUUAGCUUGUUAUUUACCCCAUCUCAGUCAGUCUUAUUCGAGGACGAAUGUUCCCAAGGGGGAGAUAUUAUAAGACCCCGCAAAAUUCUAAGCUUAAUUCAGUCCAUUUAUGAUUGUUAAGGGGGGUCCCAUACUUAGAAAAUUCAAGGUAAGUUUCCAGACAUUGUUUAUUUUGGCCUUCAAAAGUUUGCAAUCUUAUUUCACAAUCUUAACAUUCUUAAGUGGUAUAUAUUUCCAUUAAUUCAUGAUCAGUAAGGUCAAUAGGUGUUCUCAAACAAGUUUUGAAUUUUUUAGAACUCGUUUAGACCACGUUUAAAAUCCCAAAACAGUGGGCCAACAUGAUCUUGGCGCACCGCAUUGCCAAUCAUGUUGGUUGAUAUUAUUGUAGUUUUCCAGGGUCAAAGUACUGAGAAUUGAUGCGAUGAUGGCACGAUGAGUCAACUAUCACAUUGAUGCCAUCGACGUGCUGCAUCAAUAAUAGCAUCGAUGCCCAGUUUUAGUCAUUAAUUAUCUGUAUUUUAAGUGCAAAAGGGUCAAUUCCCCACCGCUAUAUAAGUCUAAAACACGGUAGUUAUCCCUAAUUCAAUAAAAAAUAUAGUGUCUCUCUCAAGUUUCUCUCAAGUACAAGUUAUGAUUUUUAAUUAAGGAUUAAAAUUCAAUACUCAAAUUCAAGAAUCUCUCCGUCAAUCUUUGUACAAUCAAAAACUAGGGUAUGCAUAGUGUUCAUUCACAGAUUCCUUUCAUCCAUGAAGCCCAAGAAUCUACUUUUAAACUAUGAAUUCUGAUAUUAAUGUUAUGGAUUGAUUAUGUUCAUGUGGUUUUUGUUGUACAAUUCCCAAUUUGGAAUCUUUAUUUGUUUUAUGAAAUUAUGUUAGAAUGCAAGUUGAAAACUAUGAACAAAGUUAGUUAUGGUGUGUUAAUUUGAUGAUUAUGCCUAUGCCCUAAGUGGUGCAUGUAUGGUGUUUGAUAAAAUGCCUAAGAGAAUAAAAAUUAUGCAUUGUAGCUUAAUUGUGAUCCAAACGACAAAUAUAUGUUUUACCCUUAUGUUCCAAUGACUCCCAUGUUAUUGAUGUGCAUUGUAGAUGUUAGUUGGAAUGCUCAUGAUGUUAGAGUAUGAAAUUAUGACAUGAUUAUAUUCAUUCCUAUCCAUGUACAAGAUUACGAUAACCAUGUACUCCAUGAAAUCCUCAACUUAUUGUAUUAUGGAUUGUAGAUAUUGGUCAUGUAUCCAAGAAUGUCAUGCCUUGUUAGUUUCCUUCUAUCGGGUCCUGGGGGUACUUGUACCCAAAAAUUUAGUUCUGUCCCUAGAGCCAGUGUCAUUUUUUUCACGAUAUCCUCAGUUAACCCAUGUUUAGUAGAAUUCAGCCAGUCAUGUAACUCAGGAAAACUCAGUAAUCCGAGUAAUCUCAAAAAGCUCAGAAAUUCAGUAAUCUCAGUAGUAUUUUACCAGUCAACAAAACUCAAUAAACUCAGUCCAGUUCAUUUAAUCAUAUUCAGUGUCUAUUCAGACGGGAGUAGGAUUUAGCACUAAGUAAGCCCAAGGAUGGGAACUCACCUGUUAUUAUUAGAGGGUGUGUUUCUUAGAAGAAGUCCUUGCACUCCAGAACUACGUAGCUAGCGUAGGUUGAGACAUCAAACCUGUUAUUUUAAGGGUAGAUGAGAUGGAUUAACCUAUUAUAUAAGGGUCCCACCAUUCUCCUUUGAGUACUUAGUAUAAGAGGGAUCACUCACAGCUUGUCCUUACCAGUGGCUCGGUAUUGACACUCUUCUAAUUAGGGUUACACAUUGGACCCCAACUCAGCUAUAAUAGCUUAUUCGGGGCAUGUUGGCUAGAUGACUUCUCCCACAGUUUCAGUUACAAAAUUAGGACUAUCAGAUACAGUCAUUGAGUCUCAGUAAUAGAACUCUGAUAAUUCUUCAAAUAUUAGGACUAUCAGAUACAAUCACUCAGUACAGUACGGAACUCAGCUAGUUUCAUCAAAAUCUAGACUAUCAAAUACAGUCACUCAGUAUCAGUUAUCAGUAAUAUAGUACUAGUAACCUUAGAUAUCGAUUACCUGUAAACUCCAUAAUUCAUAUUAUCAAUAGCCUCAGUAAUUCAGCAUCCCAAUAUUAGUAAACUCAGAUGUUAGUACAUCUGUAUUCAGUAUUGUCAUGACCCCAGUUCUAGUUUAUGUAUUCAUAUAUGUAUUUCUCAUGCGUUCAUGUUCAUGUCAUCAGUCAGUUAUUAUUGUUCAUAUAUAUGAACCCUUGUAUUCAUCUUAGCUCACUUGCAUACCUGUACAUUCAAUCGUAGUGAUGAAUUUAUGCGAUGGUGUUUUAUACCAUAGGUUUAGAAUCCCAAACUCUCGAGCUUGCAUAGUAAAUCAGACAUUCAGUAGCCAGACUAGCAGUGAGUCCUCAUUAUUCGAGGAUAACAUGAAUAUUUUAUUUCUUUAGUAUUUUAGUCGUUUAGAGUUAGUGUAACACCCCAAUUUGCUAAACUAGAAUGCUACACGGUGCUCAUGACCCUGAAGGACCACAAGCUAACCCAUGACUGAUAUUUGUACCUGUAUACUGCAUAAAAUACUGAAUAAUGUAGAAACAUGCACUGAAAGGCCAUAAGAUUCAAUACUUAACAUAACAUGGAUGGUAUAAUAUCUGUGGGGUAAUACAAUACCCAAAAUAAAAUUUUAAACACUAAAGUCUGAAACAUAAUAGUCUGUAUCUAGUCUGAAAGCAUCUACUAUUUGAAUACUCUGAAUAAGGAGUUGAUGGGACAUAUCCCCAACUAACUCGAACAAAUAACUAAUCAAUGAAAUAGUGUAGAAAUAAUCAUGUCCUCAAAGGAUGAGGACUCACUUCUAUUAUGACUAUUGAGACUAGAAUCUACUGCUGAUCUAGAACUCGUGUCUCUGAACCUAUGGUGUAACAUAAAAAGAAAGCCUCAUAACGAAAAUGCAUCAGUACAGUGUAAUGUACUGAGGAUAAAUGUGAGGUAGGCUAAUGCAAAUGUUAACAUGCAUGAAUAAUGCUAGCUGACUGUUUAACAUGAACGCGAGAAUGCAUACAUAAAUUCUUAACUAUAACUGACACUGUGAUAUCAUGAUUACUAAAUCUGAAUACUAAUGACAUAACAUACUAAUAACUGAUAUAACUGAUAACAUAAAUAGUUGUAUCUGAAUGUAACUGAUAACAUAGGUUACUAUAUCUGACAGUCCUAAAUCUGAUGGAACUAUCUGAGUUCCUUACUGUAUCUGAGUGGACUCUAUCUAACAGUCUUGAAUCUGAAGAACUAUUUGAGUUCUUUUACUGAGACUGGUACUGAAACUCUGGAAGGUAGUAUUUAACUGACAUUCCCUUGAUACGCCAUUAUGGCUAAGUUGGGGUCCAAUCUGUAACCCCAAUUGGAAGGUGUCAAUACCGCAUCACUGGUAAGGAAAAACUGUGGGCGGCCCUUAUCUGAUAGUGUCCCCAAAAGAGAAUGGUGGGGCCCUUAUCCGACAGUGCUUAUCGACCUCAUCAACUCUCAUCCGAUAGUGUGAAUGUUUCAACCUAUGCUGGCUACAUAGUUCUAGAAUGCAAGGAUGACUUCUAAGGAUCACACCCUCAUCCGAUAGUGUGUGUCCCCAUCCUUGAGUUCACUCCAUGAUAAUUCCUACUUCUAUCUGAAUAGACACUGAACAUGAGUUACUGAACUGAACAUUAGCUAAGUUACUAAGUUCCGUUGACUGAUGGAAUACUACUAAUAUCUGACAACUGACUAAGACAUGAGAUCAUGGAGGUUUUUCCUGAGUCAUAAGACUAUCUGAAGUGUAAGGAUUCAUAGCUUGACUAAGAGUAUAGUGAAAACAUGACAUGGCUCUAGGUACCCAGCUAAUGUUUCGGGUAAAAGUACCCCUAGGACUCGAUUGAAGGAAACUGACAAAGCAUGACUUACUUAAAUACAUAAUAAUCAUCAUAAUUCAUUUACUGAAGCAUUUCAUCAAACAUGUGAUAGCCAUAAGCUUGUACGUACAUGGGGAUUUCAUGAUAUCAUGCAAAUUAGACAUUCUUCCUUCAUCUAAGAAUUCAACCAAACUCAUAGUAGGCAUAGAAUGUGUAAAGAAUAUCAUACAACAAUUAACUGUCGUGAUUCAAUUCCAAUUUAAUCAGUCCUAGGGUUUCAUGAAUCUAUACCGUUACAAAUCAACCCAUAUUGAAUUUAACACUCAUUCAUGGAAUACAAUUUAAUAACUCAUUAUCAACAUAAACAAAAGCAUCACAACCAUGAACUACAUAAGAAAAUCCAUAACUUCAAUUUAGAAGAAGGGAUUCUUUGGCUUCAUAGAUGAAAGGCGUCCAUGAAUGAACACUAUGCAUACCUUAAUUCAUGAUUUCUUGAGAGAAUCUCCAAUAGAAACGCUAGCUUGUUCUUGAGAAAAACUUGAGAGAAAAUAGUAUAUUUUGGGUGAAGAAUAGCUAAAUCACGUGUUAUUGGGUUUAAAUUAGGGUAGGAAAUUGACCCUUUUAACCCUGGACGCAUCAUUUAAUUUAAGUAAAAUUUUCCUGAAUUGUGCCCCUGGCGCGAUGCGGAGCCAUUGUGUUGCCCCUUCCUUCGUGACCUGGAACUUUGGUGCGACGCGGGGGAAAUCGCAUUGAAACACUGGAAAAAGGACAAUUCAAAAUUUGAGUGCUGGCGCAACGCGUCAUAAUUUUGAACACCUACUAAAAAUUGACAAAUUCCAUUUCCUCUUGUGGCACGGCCGCCACUAACUAAUGUGGCGCUGUUUUACGAUGGAAACUUGAAAUAGUCAUAAUUUCUUACCCGAUUAUCAGAUUUAAGGGAAUCAUAUAUCGAUGGAAAGCUUAUUGAAUUUUACACAUGAAUAAAAGGGAAAAUCUUGAUUAUUUCUCAUGGAAUAAUUAUCCUUCACUUUAGAAGCUAAUACUCAGCAUUUUUGGGACAAAAUUUGCUAGAAAUCUUAGGGGUAUUACAAUAUCUCCCCUUGAGAACAUUCAUCCUCGAAUGAGACUGACUAAGAGGGGACAAUAAGCUGAACAUGAACUGAACAUGAAUAACUAGAACAUGAUCUCAUGACUGACAAUCUGAAUUUACAUACUGAACAUGCUUAUCUGAUGCAUGUGUAACUGAUUCUUGAAUGCAUGAUUGAAUGUUUCAAGGAACUAAGUUUCUCAUAAUAAGAUGCAUUUCUGAUGCAUAAUUAUAUAAAUGAGAUGAUUCAUAAAUGUAUGACUGAAUAUGCAAUGGUACUUGAUACCAAGUUUAUACUGGGAACAUGAACAUGAAACCGAAUACCAAGUUCAUGAUGAACACUGAUCAUGAAACUGAGUAAACUUAAGGAUAACUAUUACGUUGAGCUUGAUAUGAGUUGGCGAAGAAGAGGUGAGGAUACUUGGUAUGCAUGUAUCCUUCUGCUUCCCAAGUAGCUCCCUUGACGAACUGAUUUCCCCAAAAAAUUUUAACUAGAGGGACUUCUUUGUUCCUUAAUCUAUGAUUCUAAUAGUCUAAGAUUUCGCAUGGAAUCUCUUCAUAAGAGAGACUGAUCUGAACAUCAAUGCUCUGAAUAGGGACUACGACUGGUGGUCACCUAUACAUUUCUUGAGCAAAGAGACAUGGAAGACUGGAUGAACUGAGGCUAGAUCUGAAGGAAAUUCGAGCUCAUAAGCUACCUUACCGAAAUAAUUGAGAAUCUUAAAGGGACCAACAUAUUGGGGACUGAGCUUUCCCUUCUUGCUGAAUCUUUUCACUUCCUUCGUGGGAGAUAUCUUUAGAUAGACAUGAUCACUAACCUCAAACUCAAGAUCUUUUCUAUGAAUAUCUUUAUAAGACUUCUGUCAGCUCUAAGCAGCCUAGAGUCUUUCUCUAAUCAAUUAGACUUUUUCUAAGGCAUCUAAUACUAAGUCAAGACCUAUGACUGAGGCCUCACUAACUUUGAACCAACCAAUUGGAGAUAUAUAUCUCCUACUAUAGAGAACUUCGAAUAGAGCCAUCUAAAUACUGGAAUGAUAGCUGUUGUUUUAUGUAAACUAAAUAAAAGGAAAGUGGUCAUCCCAAAUUCACUUGAAAUUAAUUGCAUAUACCCUUAGCAUACUUUCUAAAGUCUGAAUAGUACUUUCUACUUGACCAUCUAUCUGAGGAUGGAAGACUGUAUUGAGAUAAACUUGGGUACCGACACCCUUUUGGAAGGAUUUCCAGAAAUAAGAGCUGAACUUGGUAUCUCUGUCUGAGAUAAUGGAAAAUGGAACACCUUAAAAUUUGACGAACUUCUUGUUAUAGAGUUUGGCAUAAUCCUCGGCUGAAUAAGAGGUAUGAACUGGAAAAAAAUAAGUUGAUUUUGUCAUCUGUCUGCAAUGACCCAGACUGAAUCAUGUUGAUGGCGUGUUUGAGGCAAACCCAUCACGAAGUCUAUGUUCACAGCUUCCCACUUCCAAGUAGGAAUACUGAACACCUGCAUGGAGCCACUAGGCUUUUGAUGCUCUAUCUUAACUUGCUGACAUAUAGAUCACUUACCCACAAACUCUACAAUUUCUCUCUUCAUCCCACUCCGCCAAUAGAGUUCUUGCAAGUUGCGGUACAUCUUUGUGGCCCCUGGAUAAAUAGAGUAGCGCACACCAUGCACUUCUACAAGAAUUUGCUGCCUUAAGUCAUCUAUACUUGGAACACAGAGAUGACCCUGAAAAUGCAAAAACCAUCUCCCCUUUGGGAGAAAACCUCUACUUUCUGAUUCUGAACUGACUCUUUCAACUUGAUAAGGCUGGGAUCUGUAUCUUGCUUUUCUUUCACCUCAAAAACUAGAGAUGAUUCUGAACUACUCUGAACACAUACACCACCCUCUGAAGAAUCCAUUAAGAAAAUGCCUAGUCUAGUAAGCUGAUGGACUUAUUGAGCUAACUUCUUCUUACUAUCCUCCACAUGAGAAACACUACCCAUGGAUAGCCUACUGAGAGCUUCAGCCAAUACGUUGGCCUUGCCCGGAUGAUAGAGGACACUUAUGUUGUAGUCUUUUAAUAGCUCUAACUACCUUCUCUGAUGAAAAUUAAGAUCUUUUUUAGAAAAGACAUACUGAAGACUCUUGUGAUCUGUAAAGACAUCUACAUGAACUCCUUAGAGAUAAUUCCUCCAAAACUUUAAGGCAAAGACUACGGAUGCUAACUCAAGAUCAUGACUAAGAUAAUUCCUCUCAUGGGGCUUAAGCUGUCUGCAGGCAUAGGCUAUGACCUUACUAUGAUGCAUAAGGACACAACCCAAACCUACUCUAGAUAUAUCAUAAUACACCACGAACCUAUCUAAACCAUCAGAAAGAGCUAAUACUGGGGCUGAGGUAAGUCGAGUUUUCAACUCCUAAAAAAUCUUCUCACAAGGGUCUAACCACUGAAACUUAACUUUCUUCUGCAUUAAUCUGUACAUAAGGGAUGUAAUAGAUGAAAAUCCUCCAAAAAAUCAUCUGUAAUAGCCAUCAAAACCCAAGAAACUCUUGAUAUCUAAUGGAGAGAUAGGUUUUGGCCUUUUUCUUACUGCUUUGAUCUUUUGAGGAUCUACUCUAAUGCAAUCACCAGAAAUAAUGUGACGAAGGAAUGCUACUGACCUUAUCCAGAAUCUGUACUUAAUAAAUUUGGCGAAUAGCUAAUGAUCUCUGAGAGUCUAAAGUAUUGUUCUGAGAUGGUCUACAUGAUCACGAUCAGUGCGGGAAUAGACCAGAAUAUCAUCUAUGAAGACUAUGACGAACAUGUCUAAGUACUGUUUGAACAUGCGGUUCAUCAAGUCCAUGAAAGCUACUGGGGUAUUUGUAAGACCAAAUGACAUGACUAAGAAUUCAAAGUGACCAUACCGAGUAUGGAAAGCUAUUUUUGAAAUGUCACUUUCUGUAACUCUGAGCUGAUGAUCGCCGAAUCUGAGGUCUAUCUUAGAGAAAUAGCUGGCACCCUGAAGUUGGUCAAAUAAGUAAUCAAUUCUGGGAAGAGAAUACUUGUUCUUGAUGGUGACCUUAUUUAUUUGAUGGUAAUCAAUGCACAUUCUGAGAUAACCAUCUUUUUAUGCACGAAUAAUACUAGUGCGCCCCAUAGAAAAAUACUUGGUCUGAUGAAUCCCUUAUCUAACAGAUCCUUCAACUGUUCUUUCAAUUCUCAGAGUUCUACUAGUGCCAUUCUAUAUGGCAGAAUAGAGAUAGACAGAGUAUCUAGGAAAAGAUCAAUGUCGAAGUCUAUUUCCCUUUUGGGAGGAAUUCCUAAAAGAUCUUCAGGAAAGACAUCUGAAUAUUCAUUCACUACUGGGACUGAUUCAAGUCUGGGAGUUUCAAAAUUAGUGUUCUUAACUCGAACAAAAUGAUAGGCACAUCCUUUAGAUAUCAUUUUCCUUACCAGAAGGUGGUAAAUAAGUUGAUCCCUGAAAGCGGAUACACUACCCUUCCACUCAAGGAUAGGUUCAUUUGGGAACUGAAACUGGACUAUUUUGUUUCUGCAGUCAAAUGUGGCAUAGCAAGAAUGAAACCAAUCCAUGCUGAGAAUGACUUCAAAAUUAGUCAUUUCUAAUUUGACUAAGUCUGCUGAAGUGACUUUCUAAAAUAUCAUAAACAGGCAGUUCCUGUAUACCUACCUGGCUAUGAUAGUUUUUCCCACUGGGGUAGAGACUGAGAAGGGCUCUGCUAGAAUUUCAAGAUUGAUUCCAAAAUCAACUGCUAUAUAGGGAGUAACAAAAGACAAAGAAACUCCUGGAUCUAGCAAAGCAUAAACAUGCACAUGAAAGAUAUGUACCGUACCAGUAACUACAUUAGGAGAAUUUUCCUAAUCUUGUCGAUUUUGAAGAGCAUAUAGUCUAUUUGGGCGUUGCCUGCUAGUAGCACUGGUGGUGGCACUCUACUGAUUUGGGUGGCCGGACUGAGCUAAGAAAUGGAGAUGACUCUGCAACUUGACUGAGGGCAGUCUCUAACUCUGUGGACUGGCUUGCACAAUCAAAACAGACAUCGCUGCCAACUCUGCAAGCACCCUUAUGGUUCUUACUAUAAGUCUGACAAAGGGGAUUAGUUCGGGCAUUGCUGAUACUGCCCUGAGACUUAGAGCCUGGCACUCUAUCUCUGAACUUAGGAGCUGGAGCACUGGCUGAAGAAGGAGAUGGAGAAGAUGACGUAGGAAAAAAUUGAGAACGGUUUUAUCCUUCUGAUUUAGGCUGACUAAAAUUGAAGCUACUUGUCCUAGUUUUCUUAUUCUGCUUUUCACUCUACUUAAUAUUUUUCUUCUCUAUCUGCUAAGCAUUGUCAUAAGUCUAGCUAAAGUCAUGUCACUAUUUAGUAUGGCGGAUCUGCACUCAUUAACCAUGUUAUCAUUUACCUCUAAAUGAAACUUACUUAUCUUGGCUUUGUCGUCCGCAACCACAUGAGGGGCAUAUCUGCCUAAUUGAGUAAACUUUAGAGAAUACUCUUUCACCAUCAUAGUGCCCUGCCUGAGGUUGAUGAAUUUUAGAACCUUAGCCUCUUUAAGCUUUAGGGGAAAGAAUCUGUCUAAGAAUGCAGUAACAAACUCCUCCCACUCUAUAGGACCUGUAUCAUCUGACCUUUCUGACUUUCACUGUUUGAACCAAGUAUUAGCCACAUCCUGCAACUGGUACACGACUAAAUCAGCACUCUCAAUAGUAGUCACCCCCAUGAUGCCUGUCACUUUCUGAACUUGAUCAAUGAAUUCUUGAGGGUCUUCAUCUACUUUAGACACGUGGAAGAAUGGGGGAUUCAUUUGGGUAAAGUCCUGAAUCCUAGAUACAACUGAGUUGGCCAAUGGGUUGGCCAGAGUGACAAUUGGUCGCUCAUUAUGGGUAGCUACUGACUGAGCAAGAGAAGUGAAUGCAGCUCAGUACUCUGUAUGAGAAACAUGAUCUCCCAAAGAAUAUUCUAGCUGAGGGGCUGACUGCUUUCUUCACUAAGGAGGCAUAUUCUGAAAUAGAAAGAAGAAGUGGAUUUUAUUGAGAGAUUGACUUAUGAUUAUGCUCAAUGGUACAACAUGAAUACUGAAAGAAGGGAAACUAUUCCUAAACAUCUCAUAGCCUCUUUCACAUAAAUGUGGUGCGAAAUACACCCAUGCAUAAGGCUCUAGUAGAUGCAGCUUUUAUACUUCCUAGGACUUUAUUGAACCUUAGGCUCUGAUACCACAUUUGUAACACCCUAAUUUGCUGAACUGGAAUGCUGCACGGUGCUUAUGACCCCAAAGACCCACAAGCUAACCCAUGACUGAUAUCUAUACUUGUAAACUGCAUAAAAUACUAAAUACUACAGAAACAUACACUGAAAGGCCAUAAGGUUCAAUACUGAACAUAACAUGGAUGAGAUAACACCUGUGGGGUAAUACAAUAUCAAAAACAAAACUAUAAACACUGAAGUCUAAAACAUAAUAGUCUGCAUCUAGUCUGAAAGCCUCUACUGCCUGAAUAAUUUGAAUAAGGAGUUGAUGGGACAUGUCCCCAACUAACUCCAACUAAUAACCAAUCAAUGAAAUAACGGAGAAAUAAUCAUGUCCUCGAAGGAUGAGGACUCACUUCUAUUCUAACUGCUAAGAUUGGAACCUACUGUUGAUCUAGAACUCGUGUCUCUAAACCUAUGGUGUAACAUAAAAAGAAAGCACUAUAGCGCAAAUACAUCAGUACAAUGGAAUGUACUAAGUAUAUAGGUGAGGUAGGCUAAUGCAAGGGUUAGCAUGUAUGAAUAAUGCUAGCUGACUGUCUAACAUGAAUGUGAGAAUGCAUACAUAAAUACAUAACUGGAACUGACCCUGUGAUAUAGUGGUUUCUGAAUAUGAAUACUGAUGAUAUGACAUACUAAUAACUGAUAUAACUGAUAGCAUAAAGAGUUGUAUCUGAAUGUAACUAAUAACUUGGGUGACUAUACCUGGCAAUUCUGAAUCUGAUAGAACUAUUUGAGUUUCUUAUUUUAUCUGAGUCGACUGUAUCUAAUAGUCUUGAAUCUGAAGAACUAUCUAAGUUUUCUUACUAAGACCUGUACUGAAACUGUUCGAGGUAUUAUUUAACCGACAUACCCUUGAUACGCUAAUAUGGCUGAGUUAGGGUUCGAUUUGUUACCCCAAUUAGAAGGGUGUCAAUACCGCACCACUGGUAAGGACAAACUGUUGGCGACCCUUAUUUAAUAGUGUCCUAAAAAGAGAAUGGUGGGGCUCUUAUCUGACAGUGCUUAUCCACCUCAUCAACAUUCAUCAGAUAGUGUUGAUGUUUCAACCUAUUCUGGCUACAUAGUUUUGGAAUACAAGGAUGACUUCUAAGGAUCACACCCUUAUCUGAUAGUAUGUGUGCCUAUCCUUGAGUUCACUCGGUGCUAAUUCCUACUCCUAUAUGAAUGGACACUGAACAUGAUUUAAUAAAAUGAGCAUGAGCUAAGUUGCUAAGUUUCGUUGACUGAUGGAAUACUAUUGAUAUCUGAUAACUGACUGAGUCAUGAGAUCACGAAAAUUUUUCCUGAGUCAUAAGACUAUCUAAACUCUAAGGAUUCAUAGCGUGACUGAGAGUAUCGUGAAAACAUAACAUGGCUAUAGGUACAUAGCUAAUGUUUCGGGUACAAGCACCCCCAGAACUCGAUAGAAGGAAACUGAUAAAGCAUGACUUACUUGAAUACAUAAUAAUCAUCAUAAUACAUUUACUGAAGCAUUUCAUCAAACAUAUGAUAGGCAUAAACUUGUACUUACAUGGGGAUUUCAUGAUAUCAUACUAAUUAGACACUUUCCCUUCAUCUAGGCAUUCAACCAAACACAUAGUAGGAAUAGAAUGUGUAAAUAACAUCAUACAAUAAUUAGCUAUCGUGAUUCAAUUCCAAUUUAAUCAUUCAAGCGUUUAGUCCUAGGGUUUCAUGAAUCUAGACCAUUACAUAUCAACCCAUAUGGAAUUUAACACUCAUUCAUGGAAUUCAAUUCAAUUGCUCAUUAUCAACAUGAACAAAAGUAGCCCAAUCAUGAACUUUAUAAGAAAAUCCAUAGCUUAAUUUUAGAAAAAAGGAUUCUUGGGCUUCAUGGACGAAAAGAGUCCAUGAAUGAACACUAUGCAUACCUUAAUUCAUGAUUUUGUGAAGAUUGAUGGGGAAACCUUCUUGAAUGUGAAUCUCCAAUAGAAAACCUAGCUUUUUCUUGAGAGAAACUUGCGAGAAAAUAGUAUAUUUUGGGUGAAGAAUAGCUAAAUCACGUAUUAUUGGGUUUAAAUAGUGGUAGAAAUUAACCCUUUUAACCUUGGACGCAUAAUUUAAUUUUAGUAAAAUUUUCCCAAACUGUGCCCCUGGCGCGACGCGGAGUUAUCACACUGUUUCACUAGAAAUUGACAAUUUGUAAAUUGAGGGAUGUCGCAACGCGGAGCCAACGCAUUACCCCUUCCUUCGUGACGUGGAAAUUUGGCGCACCGCGAGAGAAAUUACGCUGAAACACUAGAAAAAGGACAAUUCAGAAUUUUAGUGUUGGCGCGGUACGUCAUAAUCGCGGACACUUACUGAAAAUUGCCAUAUGCCAUUUCCUUUUAUGGCGCGGUGCGCCACUAACUAAUAUGCCGCUGUUUUACUAUGGGAACUUAAAAUAGUUGUAACUUCUUACCCUGUUAUCGGAUUUAAGCGAAUCAUAUAUCGAUGGAAAUCUUAUUGAAUUUUCCACAUUAUUAAAAGUGAAAAUCUUGAUUAUUCCUCAUGGAUAAUUAUCCUUUACUUUAGAAGCUAAUACUAGGCAUUCUUAGGAUGAAAUUUGCUAGAAAUCUUUGGGGUAUUAUAGUUAGUUGGGGACAUGUCCCAUCAACUCCAUAGAUUUCAAAAAAAUUAGAGGCUUUCAGACUACAACAAGUUUUAGAUAGUUUAUUUUAAUAUUGGGUAUUGUUAUACCAUAUUACAGACAUUGUUUUUGUCUUUAGUAUUAGUUCAGUUUUGAACCUGUUGGCCUUACAGCUUAUAUUCUACAUAUUUAUUGUAUAUUAUUCAGUGCUCAGUUAAAGAUGUCAGUCAUGGGUUAGAUUGUGGUCCUUAGGGGUCAAGAGCACCGUGUAGCAUUUCUGGUACCAGAUUCGGGGCGUUACAAUUACAAAUUUCUUCAUAUCUAUUUUGUAUUUACUUUAUUAUUCUGAGAUAGAGCUGUAUAUUUUCAUACUCUUUAACACUAUUAGUUAUCUUUACUCAUGACAUCAUAUUUUGGGAUUGAAGUUGUUUCUUUUUAGUUUUGGAUCUUGUUUUUCAUUAAUAUAUAAUCUGAAUUUGGUAGGAAGUCUCGCAUUUGGAUUUCAUUUAUUUGUUUUCUACAUCUUUAUCUUUUUUGGUUUUAGUCUUACCUACCUAUUGUUUGGAUUGGGUAGGAUCCAUCACGACCUCAACUUUUGGGUUAUGAUACUACUAGGCUCUUGAGGGUCCCUACUUGAUACCAUGGAUUAUCCCCUACUAGAGAAAAAAGUAUCUCUUAGAGAUUUAGAGUAUCAGGAAGAUUUGGAAAUUGAGACUUCAUAAAAGAGUAGUCCUCCCAUGUUGCUUUAUCUGGGGGGAAAAUUUUACCAUUGAAUUAACACUUGUAUCACUAUCCAAUUACCUUUCUUGACCAUACAUCUUUAUAGAAUUUAUAUGAGUUCUAUCCAAAUCAAUCCUUCAUUAGUGCUGCGGGGAGGAUCUUGAUAUGCCAUUACCUUGUCACCUAUCUUCUUUUUCUAUUACGGGACAUAGAAUACUAGAUGAAUUCUGAAGUCAAUAAGAAGAUGAAUCUCAUAAGCUAUUUCCCUUAUUUUCCAGAUUACUUCAUAAGAAUCAAAGAAUCAGAUUGAUAAAUUAUUAUUCUUUUUUAUAUCUUCUAAGUUUGGUGGUAAGGUUGCAAUUUUAGAAAAACCCAAAUCCCCUACUUAGAAUUUCCUCUUGGUCCUCUUAGUGCCAGUGUAGUGCUUCAUUCAAUUUUGGGCUUUUCUCAAGUUAUCUUGCAACAACUUAUUCAUUAGUUGUCAUUCUAUCAACACUUAGUCAACAACACCCAAUUUUGUUUGAUCCACUAAUUCAAAGUGUGCUAGGGUAAUUGUAACCAUAAAAGGUUUUGAGAGGAGUCUAAUUAAAGUGUAAAAGCUGGAAUUGUAUCAAAAUUCUACUAAUGGUAGGAAUUUUCUCUACUCGGUUGUCUUGUGUCCUGUAAUACAAGGUACCUCUCCAAACAUCUAUUAAGCAUUUUGGAUUGAUCAUCCGUCUAAGGAUGAUAUGCUGAAUUUGUCUUUAACUGGACCUAUAAUCCAUUAAAUAUUCCCUUUCUAAUGUACCGACAAAUAUAGGAACCCUAUAUGAGACAAUUAAACUAAGAAGGCCAUGCAAUAUGCAAAUAUUGUCUAAAAAGUCCUGUGAAAUUAGAGUAGCAUUAUAGGGAUGAGUUAACGAAAAAAGUUAGCAAAUUUUGUAUACCUAUAAAAUACCACCAGAAUUGAGUCCCUUCCUUUUGAUUUUGUCAGACUAAUGAUGAAUUCCAAAGCCAAAUGCUUCCAUGCCUUCGUGGGAAUUGGCAAGGGUUUAGGAAAUCCAAGAUAAGCUAGAUUCUUGCCUUUGUUUCUUUGACAUAUUUCACAUUCCUUAUAAAGUUUUCAUAUCUUACAAUAGGCUUGGCUAAUAAAACUAGGUUUGCACUCUCUGUUGAGUUGCAUAUACACUUGAAUGUGCUCCCCAAGGAGGUUCAUGUUGCUCAUAAAUGAGCCUCUACCUUAACUGACCAUUAGGAUUAGCAUCGCCAUUGUAGUUUUCCAUGACCUCUAUCACCCAUUUUGGCUACAUUACAGUUAGACUAGUAGAUUUAAACUCUUUGAAAUUUCUAUAGAAGGCAUCUGUUGUAAUUUUUUCUACACCCCUUUUGUAAUGUAUUUCAUAGCUAAGACAUAUGAGUUUUAUAACUCCUUUGUGUUAUAGGGUAGUAAUUCUUUAAUCUUUGUGGAAUUUAUGGUUGAAAUGAUCUAUUUUGAUUACAAAAUGGUUCGAUUGCAAGUAAUGAUGCCACUUAUCCACCAUUAUAAGUAAAGCAGUUCUUUUCAAUUGUUGACAAGACAAAAUGCCUAAUACUUAAUUCUUUGCUCAAGUAUACAAUUGGUAUACCAAUUUAAGUUAAUAUAGAUCCUACUCCUAGUCCACAAAAAUCAACUUUAACAUUAAAAGAAAUGGAAAAAUUGAGUAAUGCUAAAGCUGGAGCUCUUACCAUUUCUAGUUUGAGCUCCUCGAAUACCUUUGUUGCAUCCUCGGUCCACAAGAAGUUUCCCUUUUUAAUAGAUUAGUUAAAGGUUUAGUAAUCAAAACAAAAUUUUUAAUAAUCUGUGAUAAUAUCAUAUAAGGCCUAAGAAACCUCUCAAAUUUUUAAUAGAUUUAGGUUUGCCCUAUUGCAACAUGGAUUUAAUAUUCUCUUCAUCUAUGCUAACCCCUAACAUCACUAACUAUAUGACAUAAAAUUCCACCCUUUUUUAAGAAAAAUUACAGUUAGAUCUAUUGGCAAAGAUUUGGUUAGCUCUUACUUAAUCAAAUACAAUUUCUAAAUAGGUCACAUGUUCCAUAAUAUUUUGUACUAUAAAUUAAAAUAUCAUUAGAUAAUAUGAAUACAAACUUUCUAAUAUGCGGUCCAAAUAUUUUGUGCAAAAGAUCUUGAAAAGUGGUUGGAGCGUUUGUGAGCCCAAAUGGAAUUACCCUACACUCAUAAAGACCAUAAUAAGUUUUGAAUGUUGUUUUCUGUUCAUUUUCAUCCUUCAUUCGAAUCUGGUGGUCGCUAACCGUAGAUCCAAUUUGAAAAAUAUUAUGCUCCUUGUAAUUCAUCCAACAGAUCCUCUACCACUAGUAUUAGAUAUUUUUUAAUUGUUAUCUCAUUGGGGUUUUGAUAGUCAACACAAUGUCUGCAACUGGAAUCUUUUUUCUUGAUUAUUACAAUUAGUGAAGUAAAGGAAGACAAACUAGUGGUCACCAUUUGAGACCUAAGAAUUUCUGUUAUUAUAAUCUCAAUUAAAUAAUUCGGCUCAACAGACUAUCAAUAAGGCCUGAGGUUUAUAGGCUUGGAUCCUGGCGGCAAAUCAAUUGGGUGUUCACAUGAGUGGGUAGGUGGAAAUUCUGUGGGCUUUUAGAAAAGAUCUGAAUAACAAAGGUUCUACUAUUUUAAAAAUGGGUUCUUCACCCUUCUUUGCCUCAACCAUCAUUAAUUGUAUAAUGUAGUGGUAUUUCCCUUUGUUUGAUCAUUUUAUCACAUUCUUAGCUUGUAUCAUGAAUAUUGGCUCAGAACUUGUGUCACUUAAAAAAUGAAUGACUUGUGAUACCCUAAUCAAGGAAAUUUCUAGUAGUUUGGUAUGCAAAGCAAUAAGUGAAAAUAGGUCUAUCCAAUCUAUUCCAAGGACGAUAUCAUAUCGCAGAACGUAACAAUCUUAAAUCAAAUAUGAACUCAUGGUCUUGCAUUUCCUACUAGAACUUUUUGCAUAUCUGGCUACAGAUCACAUGUUGACCAUUUUCCACUCUAACCCUCAAGGGUCUAACCAUUGUUUCUACAGGGGCUACUAGAAUUUAACUACAUGAGGGUCGACAAAGUUAUGGGUGAAUCCACUAUCAACUAAGACUACCAAUUUUUACUUCUUAGCCCACCCAAGGAUUUUGAUGGUGGAAGGUUCUUAUGUUUUGCCUUACGAGGCCAUCCAUUAUAAUAGCCCUUAUUAUGGGGCCUCUGGCCUCUAUUCAAUAGUAGGAUCCACAAUCUCUUUUUGUGUGUUAGAACUUCUUCUCCUUCUAUAAUGUGUAGAGGUUUGGGGCAUACAUUGGUGGCCUGGUGUAUAUUUAUCAUUACACUUAUAAAAAAUAUUCUUUUCUCUACAUUCUUUAAGGGAUAAUUUCUUACUUCCUAUUAACAUCACAACGACUAUAGUGGAAGCACUAGUGGGUGGUAAGAGCAUGGGAGGUUUAUGUAAGGAAAAAAAUUUCAAAGUAAAUUUGGAUAAUUGUUUAUAUAUACUAUUAAGGGAUUUUUCAUGUAAUCUGGCAUAACUAUAAGCUUCAACCAGUGUUUGUGUAAUGCCCUGGGAUUUUGGUACUUGAAAUAUUUUGAAAGUUUAUCCUCACUAUCCUGACUAUGACUUUACCUAUGAGUUGUAGAGAGUCUUGACGGGUCCUAGGGACCCAAUUAUAACCAAAUUAGUAAGUCUGUGACUAUUGAAUUAUUUUUUCAAGUUGAUUCAAAUUAUUCUAACGUUUUAUUACUUAUUUAUUUUUGUUUGGCGCACCAAAAAAAACUUUUUGACUCCUCAGUAGAAAUAGCUUUCGCUAACGAAAGAGCCUUUAAUUCUAUCCAAUAUGUCUUCCUUUUCCAAAUAUUUUUACGAAUAAGUUUUUUUGAUCUCGAAGUGCGUUUUCUUGGAACUACCAUUAUAAAAUUCUUCAUUAUUAGUUAUAGUUAGAUGUGAAAUAUAUCUAUUGUUCAAAAUGAAUUCUUUAUAAUAUGCAAUUUAUAAUACUAAAAUAAAACAUUAUCGAGAUAGGCAAAAGAUAAGAAUAGAAAAUUCGAUUUAAGUUUUAAUUUAGUUUAAGUUAGUCCAUAUUUUUACUUUUUAUUGACUCCUUUCAAAAGAGGUAAGAUCCGGUGAAUCGAAAACAAUUAAUUAAGAAUUCAAAACUUUUUUAUGGAACAGAUAUAUGAAUAUGUGUGGAUCAUACCUUUCAUUCCAUUUCUAGUCCCAUGUUAAUAGGAGCGGAACUUAUUCUUUUUCCAACGGCAACAAAAAGUUUUCGCCGUAUGUGGGCUUUUCAAAGUGUUUUAUUGUUAAGCAUAGUCAUGAUUUUUUCAAUCUACCUGUCUAUUCAGCAAAUAAAUAGCAGUUCUUUUUCUCAAUAUGUAUGGUCUUGGAUCAUUAAUAAUGAUUUUUCUUUAGACUUCAGAUUCUUGAUCGACCCACUUACUUCUAUUAUGUAAAUAUUAAUCACUACUGUUGGGAUUAUGGUUCUUAUUUGUAGUGAUAAUUAUAUGGCUCAUGAUCAAGGCUAUUUGAGAUUUUUUGCUUAUAUGAGUUUUUUCAGUACUUCCAUGUUGGGAUUAGUUACUAGUUCUAAUUAGAUACAAAUUUAUAUUUUUUGGGAAUUAGUUGGUCUGUGUUCCUAUCUAUUAAUAGGAUUUUGGUUUACACAACCUAUUGCGACAAAUGCUUGUCAAAAAGCCUUUUUAACUAAUUGUGUUAGGGAUUUUGGUUUAUUAUUAGGAAUUUAAGGUUUUUAUUGGAUAACGGGGAGUUUAAAAUUUAGGGAUUUAUUCAAAAUAUUCAAAACCUUGAUUUAUAAUAAUGAGGUGAAUUUUUUAUUUGUUUCUUUAUGCAUUGUUCUCUUAUUUGUCGGUGCAGUUGCUAAAUCCGCCCAAUUCCCCCUUCAUGUAUGGUUACCUAAUGCCAUGAAGGGGCCUACAUAUCAUAAAGCUUUGUAUCGGCUAAGUUUAUGAGUUAGAGAUAUUCGGACUCGAAUCGCUGACAUCCGCCGUAGGGUAAACCACCACCACUCAGGUCCCCCGACUGAUUCUACCAUAGAGGCCAAUAAUAGAAAAUAACUCCCCUUCGAACACAGCUUACAACUUUCAUCGUACUGUGCUCUCCAAAGAGUAACUAUUUCCAAAAUCUCACUCAAAAUGUGCUGAGUUGGAAUCCCAUUCUAACUAAGGAUUCUUGUGGUUCCGGAGGAUCCAACUAUAGCAGAACCAGGAACGGAGGGCUUUCCCCCCUUCCGCCUGAAUCUUUGGUCUUAAGAAUGCUGGUUUUAAGAAUGAGUCAUUGCCCUUCUCUGACCUUGAAUGACCAACCUGAGAGCGGAAAGCUAAUGCAUUCCACUUAUUGAACAGGGUUCCAUGGUCGGUCCGUGACCCCUGGAUGCCAAAGGUGUCCUUGGGGUAAUUGCGUAGUUCCUACGGGGUGGAGAUGAUUGGGUCGGUCCAUCGAUUUUCAUUUUUUUUCUUUUGAUGCAUUUUGCUGAAAGGGUUGAAGUAGGAUAGUGCAUCAAGCUGUUUGCAAGAGCCAACUUGAUCCUCUUCCCCAGAGAUCUUAGAUGAGGGGACCCUGGGAGAGCCGCUGACUCCAACUACCGUCCUUGUACGAUCUAUACUAGAUCUAGCCAACUGCCUAUCCUACCUCCUCUAUGUUCUUGAUAGCCUAUCUUUGUCUCAGUAGAGUCUUUCAGUGGAACGUUUCGGUCCUCUUCCCCAUUACUUAGAAAAAGUGAGCCACCGAUUUAGGUAUAAGAUACUAUCAUUACCGCCUAGACAAUUAGAUAUCCAACCCAUAAUUGCAAUGACCCAAUUGCAAGAGCAGAGCUCUACCAACUGAGCUAUAUCCCCCCGAACCAAGUGGAGCAUGCAUGAAGUAGUCAGAUCCUUCUUCUAUUCUUUUCCCUAGCGCAGCUGGGCCAUCCUGGACUUGAACUAGAGACCACACCCGUGAAGUAAAUCAUCGCACCUAAGGUCCAGCCAAUUGGGAGAGAAUCAAUAGAUUUCUUUUUGGGAGUGAUUCAUCCUUCCCAAACGCAGCAUACAACUCUCUGUUAUACUGCGCUCUCCAAGUGUGCUUGUUUCCUCUUCUUCCUUACACUGGCAAGUCUUUGUGAAAUAACUCCAAUAAUAAGAAAAAAUAAGGCAUUAAGAGAACCUCCUGGACCAACCCUAGACACUCUAAGAUCCUUUUUCAAACCUGCUUCCAUUUCAAUUUUGAGUUAAGAAAGAAACGGGUCGAAUGGUAUGAUCCUUUAUUUACCCCAAAAUGAAAGGGGUGAUCUCAUAGUUCUUGGUCUGUGAAGAUGCAUUGUUAGGUGCUCUAUUUUAUUUUCCCACUGAGGCCAAACCUAAACCUGUGCUUGAGAGAUAACUGUCCAUACACUGAGAAGGGAUGUACAGAUUCUUGAGAAGAGAGGAGCCAUAGUGGUCCCCCCGGAUCGCCCGGAUCCCACGAGUGAAUCAAAAGUUGGAUCUACAUUGGAUCUCACCUGAAUCACCCCAUCUAUCCUCCUGAGGAGGAGUUUGGUUUCAAAUCCCGAUUCGAACAGGAGGAGUACGCCAUUAUUUCUGGUACAAAAGGGUCCAUAACCUCUAUUCAAGCAGUUUAUGUACCCGCAAAUGAUUUGACCGACCCUGCUCCUGCUACGACAUUUACACAUUUAAAUUCUACUACCAUACUAUCAAUAGGAUUAGCUGCGAAAGGUAUUUAUCCAGCAGUAGAUCCUUUAGAUUCAACACCAACUAUGCUUUAACGUCGGAUCCUUGGUGAGGAAUAUUACUAAACCGCCCAACGAGUUAAGCAAACUUUACAAUGUUACAAAGAACUUCAGGACAUUAUAUAUCCAUAGAUUGCAUGAAUUAUCCGAAGAGGAUCGUUUAAUCAUAGCAAGAGCAUGAAAAAUUGAGCAUUUCUUAUCACAACCCUUUUUCAUAGCAGAAGUGUUUACCGGUUCUCCAGGGAAAUAUAUUGGUCUAGAAGAAACAAUUCGAGGAUUUCAAUUGUUCCUUUCCAGAAAAUUAGAUGGUCUUCCUGAAUAGGCCUUUUAUAUGGUAGGUAAUAUCUAUGAAGCUACCGCGAAGGCUAUGAACUUAGAAAUGGAGAGCAAUUUGAAGAAAUGACCUUAAAUCUUAGUGUACUGACUCCUAAUAGAAUUGUUUGGGAUUCAGAAGUGGAAGAAAUCAUGUUAUCUACUAAUAGUGGUCAAAUUGGCAUAUUACCAAAUCACGCCCCUAUUGCCACAAUUAUAGAUAUAGGGAUUUUGCGAAUACGCCUUAACAACCAAUGGUUAAUGAUGGCUCUGAUAGGUGGUUUUACUAGAAUAGGCAAUAAUGAGAUCACUAUUUUAGUAAAUGAUGCGGAGAAGGGUAGUGACAUUGAUCCACAAGAAGCUCAGCAAACUCUUGAAAUAGCGGAGGCUAAUGUGAAAAAGGCUGAAGGAAGGAGAUAAAAAUUGAAGAAAAUCUAGCUCUCCGAUAAGCUAGAGCACGGGAGGAGGAUAUCAAUCUGGUUUUAUAACUAGUUAGUACGACUAGUUAGUACGUUCGAAUAAUAAAAAAAAGUUCUCUUUCUAAUCCUAUUUAGAUUCUGUCGGGUGAAUACAAUCAAAUACAAUUAAACAGAAGCCAAUUCUGAUGUAAAAAUGAAAAUAAAAGUUGUAUAAUUUUCAUUUCUUCAUUAUUAUAUCUUGCUUGUAACUAAGUGAAAUUCAAAUAUUCCUAUAAGUUUACUCACGGAAAUCGUUUAAGUUUAAGUAGAUGAAAGAAAAAAUGCAUAUCAAUGGAUCCAAUCGAUAUAUUUUUUUUAAAUUGCAGAUAAACAAACCAACCUUUCAUCAUUAAUCUUUGGAGGCGAAUUACAUAUUCAGAUCCAUAAUAAAAGAAUUAGUAAGACCUCCUUUCUUUUGAUAUCCCCAAUCUUAUUGAAUUUUAGAAGUCAAAUCAUUUCACCGGCCUGGUGAAAUGAAAAACUACGAAGCGGAAUUCACAUGGAUUUAGGAAGGGACUGCUGUAUUUAUGUACAAGCUAAAUUUUUUUGAAAAAUGAAUAUCUUUGGUCACUUUCAUUAUCAAAUAGGAUUUUCCUUCAUAGACCUUACUUACCUCGUCCUAGCGAAGAACAACACAGAAAAGGUAGUCUUCUUUUUAUGUAUUCAACCAAGAAAAAUCCCUCAACCUGGAUUCGAAUCCUAAUACUAUUAUUAAAUAAUAAUAAAAUAAUAAAAGGAAUAUACCAACAAAAGAUCUUCUAAAUCUUGAGAUGGAAGUUCCUAUACAUUCUUUUGUAUUUGAUUACUUGUUCCAUUAUAGAUCACUAAAUCACUAAGAAAAAAAUUAAAAUAAAGACCUCCGAUUCUAUUUAUAGAAAAAAUAUAAAUAUUUAAAGAAUUUCUAAUUAAAGAAGAAAAAUUAAAUAAGAACUGAGAUAAUUAAUUAAUUUAGGAUUCCCCAUCUUUAGUUUAGAGAAAAAAACAAGAGAAAGAGGAGAAUUUGUAUAAGAGUAAUAUAUAGUUAGAAGGUUCUAUUAACUAAAUAAAAUAGAAAUAAGUAUAAUGGAGAUAAAAUCGGAUUCCAGUCGAUGAAUCUUGCAAUGAGAUAUGCCCUAUAACAAACCAAUAAACAAAUCCAAACUAGGUGGUUCGACCAAAAUGAAUUAUUGUUUUGACUAAUAUAGUUAUGGAUGGCUUGACGAUUCCAAUUCGAAUCGACCAAGCGAAUCCGGUAUAUUUUCCACGUUCAUAGGAGUGCGUUUAUGUUUCUGAUUUAUAAUUAUCAUCUUUUUGGGCAUUUCUAAUAAUAUCCAUCCUUGUUCCUAUUUUGGUAUUUUUCAUUUCCGGAGUGUUAGCCCCGAUUAGCAAAGGGCCGGAGAAACUUUCUACUUAUGAGUCGGGUAUAGAACCAAUGGGUGAUGCUUGGUUACAAUUUCAAAUCCAUUAUUAUAUGUUCUACCAAGAAACUUACCGAGGAAGCAGAAGCCCUUUUGAAAGAAGCUAUUCAGGAACAAAUGGACCAUUUUAUAAUUCAGGAACAAGCAUAAAGAAAUAUUGAUCACCCUUGUCUUAAUCUUAAUAAAAAAAAGGAAUUAAGCAUCCUGGAUCAAAGUCCUAUCCAUUAGAUAAUGGACGCUUUUCAUUCUGAUUUUUUUUUUCGUAUUUUAACUUUUUAUUUGAAAAAAAAUAGAAAGAAUCUGAUUUGAAAUAAUUUUUUGAAUUGUAUAUUCAAUUAUAUACUAAUACUAAUAAACUAAAUUUGAUUUAAUGAAUAGAUUAAAAUAUUUAGAAUAAAUAGAUAUAGAGCAGGUAGCAGGAAUCGAAUCCACAUCUUUAGCUUGGAAGGCUAGGUAUUAUAGUUGUCGUCGAUUCAUUUUUUUAACAUCUCUAAUUCAAAACCGAACAUGAAAAUUUGAUUUCAUUCGGCUCCCUUAUGGAGAUGAUUCAAUGUAUAAGAUCUAAGAUGUGAACAAAAUUCGAAAAAAAAAAAGAAUUCUACCCAUAACAUCUAUGUCAGCUUUUGGUCUGAAUACAGAUAAAACGAAUUGCUUUGUAGAUGAUCCUUCUAGAAGAGGGGGAUUCUAACAACCUUUCUAGUUAUUUCGUUCUCUAUUUCUAUUUAAUAGGAUCCUGAGGAAAAGGAGUUUGUUUCCACCGAGCUAAAACAAUAUGUUGAUGUCUCUAGUAAACCAAAGUCAUCGUUUAAUAGCUAUUUUGCUUCACUUUCUUCUUUACAAAUAAGAAAUUGAAGAUUUAGUUACGAUUAGAAAUCAACUUUCUAUCUUUAUCCAUGGAUCCUUUAUUGAUACUUAUUCAAUUGGAAGUAUUGAUCCAAUUCAAAAAUUAUGUUUCGCAAUUUCA